UUGUGUUUAGUUUCUCAGUGAUCCAAAUUCCAAUAUCAAUUCCAAUUUGUCUUACUGGUUUUGGAAAGAUGUAAUGAUACCGUACCAGCUUCUUGUGGUGAUAUGAAAUCCCCUGUCUGAGUUCUAACCUGGUUCUUUUUAGGUUCCCCAGGAAACUCAGGCAGCCAAGGACCCACAGGAGAGAAAGGAGCCAAAGGAUCUUCAGGACCCCAAGGAAUUGAUGGUGUAAAAGGAACCAGAGGUGACCAAGGCUCAAUCGGACUGCCUGGAAUCAGGGGUCCCUCCGGGCCCCCAGGAGACACAGGGCUUCCAGGUACAGUAGGAUAGCAUCCCAUAAUUGGAAUUUAAAUGUCUAGGAAGUUGUGGUCUCAUCUCAUAUCCUAAUAAUUUGCCUGU
rnacentral:lncRNA from 1 species